CUGAAAUCAUUUCUUUUUCUGAUUGUGAGUAUAGU
rnacentral:sRNA from 1 species